rnacentral:rRNA from 1 species
AGUUGAUCCUGGCUCAGAACGAACGCUGCGGCAUGCCUAACACAUGCAAGUCGAACGAGGACCUUCGGGUCUAGUGGCGCACGGGUGCGUAACGCGUGGGAAUCUGCCCUUGGGUUCGGAAUAACAGUUAGAAAUGACUGCUAAUACCGGAUAAUGUCUUCGGACCAAAGAUUUAUCGCCCAGGGAUGAGCCCGCGUAGGAUUAGCUAGUUGGUGAGGUAAAAGGCUCACCAAGGCGACGAUCCUUAGCUGGUCUGAGAGGAUGAUCAGCCACACUGGGACUGAGACACGGCCCAGACUCCUACGGGAGGCAGCAGUGGGGAAUAUUGGACAAUGGGCGAAAGCCUGAUCCAGCAAUGCCGCGUGAGUGAUGAAGGCCUUAGGGUUGUAAAGCUCUUUUACCCGGGAUGAUAAUGACAGUACCGGGAGAAUAAGCCCCGGCUAACUCCGUG